AUAUUCCACUGCCUCCCAGCAACUUGCUGUCACUUUCAAAGGACAUUGGAUGUCAGAGAAGGAGCAUGGGCAAAUUCAGGGUGAUUUGCUGACCAGUGCUAUACUUCUGAGUUCAGUGCCUCCAGGGCUGAAUUGUGUACCCACCAAAUUCAUGUGCUGUGGUCUUAUUCCCUCGUGACCUCAGAAUGUGGCUGUAUUUGGAGAUAGGGUUUUUAGAGUGGUAAUUAAGGUACCUAUAUUGAGUUUCCCAUGGACAGCAUACAGGAGUGACUGGAAGAGCAGUGGAACAGAGCAGAAGAAAAGUGGGGACAUGCCUUGGGAGUCAGCUUUGCACCUGCUGAGCCAAGUCUGACAAACAGAAAUAAAGCCCUGCGAUGCUGCUUCCGCCACGGGGUGUGAGGACACAUGUUUUAGCCUUCCCCAGAUGUUGUCAGGAGGAGCAAGACUGCACUGCCCACAGUGCAUGGGUGGCCCCACCUCUCCUGGCUCUGGAAGUCUACUGUCCAAGAUAAUUGUGAGCCCUCAAGCAUCAUAUAUUCUGAAACAAGGCGGUUCCACUCCAUAACUGAGCACUUCCAAUGCAUUGCAUGCAACGGAUCUUACAAACAUACCGCCAGAUCCCAGGUCCGUCACAUCUGUAUUCAUCAAGCCAUACAAAUUUCUCCUUCAGCUCAAAGUCUGAUCUCUAAUUUUAAUUUCACUCAA